ensembl:lncRNA
UGCGGUCAAUCACAAAAGAAAUUAUUUCCAAUUUGUAUUCAUACAUAAUCAUGUUUAUGUGAAUGUAUAGAAAAAAAUCCUUUGUUACUAGAGGAUAGCUUCCAAAAAAGCAGAGAAUAACAAUGAGUUCUUAAAGGAGAUGAUAUCCAUGCUCGAAUAACUAAAGGCUUGAAGUCUGUUUCUGAAAGGAUACAGAACAUGAAGCAACUUUGUCAAAGCUGGCAGAAUAAUAGCUUUACUAAUCUUGCAGGCUACACUCUACUUUGUAUGACAAUUGCCUUCUUUGCAACUGCCUUUGCUACUUAGCUUGUUACUGACUAUAAUCUUACAUCUUUUUUCUCCUUCCUUUGCAGUAAAAUUUCUAUUGAACGUUGCCUUUUUUAAUCACUUUUUAAAUGUAAUCCAUUCUCCAGGGUCUUUUAAGGCAUCUCAGAUACAAUCAGCUACUAAUUUAACAUUGCUCCUUUUAUGACUCGUGUAAUUAAUGAAAAUAUUGCUGCUCCUUGCACAGUUUUACUUGAAAUGUACUUUCCUGCUAACAGUAAAGCAUUUAUAGUUGCUAUAAGUAUGGCUUCCUAAACACUUUUGCAUCUUCUCUAACACCAUGCUUCUAAAAUUGUGCAAGACUGUGGGGUUUUUUUGUUUGUUUGUUUGUUUGUUUUUGUUUUUGUGCUUUAUUUUAACAGGAAAAUACCUAUAAUUAGCAUAUGUAUAUACAUAUGUAUGGAUAUGAAACCUAUCAAUGAAGAAAGGGUGUUAAAACUUCUGUCUUCUCAAAGCUGUCUGUGAGAAAUUGUUCUGCUUUAUCAGACUUCAGUCUUCUUCAUUGUCUUGCCCCACCCAGUGUGCUUCAAGGAAGGCCAACCUUUUUCUAUCUACAGAGUUCCACCUCUCCUAGCCAGCAGGGGGCGCUGAUGGGAUAGUCUCAGAGGGAUAAUGUACAUAAAUUUGCAAAAAGCUUUCUAACAAGUAAUACUCUACUUUGAAGUAAAAUUGGAUCAUUUACUAAUAAUGAUUAAUAGGCAUUGCAGGUAAGACAGUAUUAGACAACAGCUUUAUAAAGAGUGAAAGAGUAAAGCAGAUAAAGAGAAAAGAUAGGAAACAGGGCAAGAGAGACAGACGAACAGACAGACAGA